rnacentral:rRNA from 1 species
CCUACGGGUGGCAGCAGUGGGGGAUAUUGCACAAUGGGGGAAACCCUGAUGCAGCGACGCCGCGUGAGUGAAGAAGUAUUUCGGUAUGUAAAGCUCUAUCAGCAGGGAAGAAAAUGACAGUACCUGACCAAGAAGCCCCGGCUAACUACGUGCCAGCAGCCGCGGUAAUACGUAGGGGGCAAGCGUUAUCCGGAUUUACUGGGUGUAAAGGGAGCGUAGACGGUUAUGUAAGCCUGGUGUGAAAGCCCGGGGCUCAACCCCGGGACUGCUUUGGAAACUGUGUAGCUGGAGUGUCGGAGGGGCAGGCGGAAUUCCUGGUGUAGCGGUGAAAUGCGUAGAUAUCAGGAGGAACACCGGCGGCGAAGGCGGCCUGCUGGACUGAAACUGACGUUGAGGCUCGAAAGCGUGGGGAGCAAACAGGAUUAGAUACCCCGGUAGUC